CCUACGGGUGGCUGCAGUGGGGAAUAUUGGGCAAUGGGCGAAAGCCUGACCCAGCCAUGCCGCGUGAGUGAUAAGGCCCUAGGGUUGUAAAACUCUUUCAUCGGUGAAGAUAAUGACGGUAACCGAAGAAGAAGCCCCGGCUAACUUCGUGCCAGCAGCCGCGGUAAUACGAAGGGGGCUAGCGUUGUUCGGAAUCACUGGGCGUAAAGAGCGCGUAGGCGGUUUAACAAGUCAGAGGUGAAAGCCUGGAGCUUAACUCCAGAACUGCCUUUGAA
rnacentral:rRNA from 1 species